AAACAGAUAAAAUUGACAUGACUCUCAUUAAUUGCUAUACAAGAGUAAGUCGUAUUUACUUACAGAUGCUAACAUGAUGACUGAAAAUAUUGACGAAAUUAAUAUCAACCAUUUUUAUUGCUAUAUGCAAUUUGCUUAAUCAAUACUGUACCACUUUAAACACUGCCUGCUACAAUAGUGCAUAACUUCUAUUUCACUUGGUAUACAAACAAAAAAAAAACUCUACUUGUACAAGUAUAGACUCCAAUGAUUAAACCAAAGCAUCGAAACAUCUCAUUUAUUUUUAACUAACGACGAGCAGCAACCUUGGCAUUCUUAAUAGCUUGGCCACGAGCAGAGCUGGCAGCAGACUUGGCCUUGAUGGCCUUCUUUUCAGAUUCGGAGGCGGCCCUCUUAUCCUUACGUUGCUUCAAAGCAGCGGCACGGGCAGCAGCACGGACUUCAGGACGUUGGUUACGCUUCU